GUUUGCCUGACCAAAAAUAGCUAACCAAGUCCAUAUGUUGACUAUAUGGUUUAUCUAAAACAGUAUCAUCAAUACUGACUAUAAGUUUAUUAUUAUCAAUAUGUUGAAUUGAUUCUUGAUAUAGGUCGUGAGGUGUGUAGUCUUCACGCUCUAGAAAGCGAUUUACACUAUCAUGCGAGAUAUUAUAAGUCUCGGCAAGUUGUGUGCAGCUAAUAGAGUUCGGUUCUGUCAUGAGAAAGCCCAUAUAAAUGGGUAAUGUACAAGUUGCUGUAGAAGCAUGUUUAAUUCGUCUAAUCACAGAUACUUUAUAAAGUAUUUUAAUACUUUUUUGAAUCCGUCAAUGCGUAAGUCCUAUAAAGAUUAAAUAUGUGUUUUAUAUAAGAUGCAGAUUCAAAUAAUGGUUAAUUAAGCUUUAUACAAUUCAGUGGUUGGAGUCACAUUUUCUGUAAAUAAAUUUGGGUGAUACGUAUUCAGUUUCGUAAUAUAAAUAGUUGUAAUUAAAAAGUAUUUCUCCGAAGAUUGCUUUCCAUGUCUUUUCAUUUGUGCCCUCAACACCUUGAAUAUCCAUUGGAUAAUCAACUUCAUGAGUGGUUAAUAUAAUAUUUGUAUUUGGUGCAAUGAUGAGAUGCUUUUCAUUUCUUAGAGGGAUGAAAUCUUUCAUCGAAAGCGGUUUACAUUCACGUUCUGUAGCACUAUAUACAGUUAGUACAUAAUUAUUUGAUAAAUCACGUUGAACGCGAAAAAACAAAUCUAAAAUUUCAGAUUGAUACUUAUCAUGAAAUUUAUCAAUCAUUACUGAAAUUUGUUGUGUAAGCCCUUGCUCAAUAAAUGAUUUAUCACGUGAAUCACAUUUAUUCAUAUCGAAUACAUAUGUAAAAAUAUUAAGGUUAAAUCGUUGCUGGGUUUUGAAGAGCUUUUUCAUUACUCGUGCAUUUUCUUUUUUUAAUUCAUUAAUAAGUUCUAAGCGUUGGAGUCUGUCAGCCAUUGCUAUUCGAGUCGUUGAAUCUCUUUUUAAUUCAUUCACGAAAGAAUUUACUGUAGGCAAAAUAUCAUUGAUAUAUUGUUCAUUAUGCAAAUAUAAAUGAUUGAUUGGCCUAUCUAAUUCAUAUCCUAAUUUUGAAUAAGCUUUGUGUAAUGCUUUUACACUUUGACUAAGUUUGAAAAAUUUAUGUUCGAGUAGCAUUGGACUUAUGCCGGGAAAAUUUUGUAAACGUUCAAAUACGUGAUCGGUUUGAGGGGAGUUACUGACAUAGUAUUUACCCUUCUUACUGGAUUUUAAUUUGAAUGCACUAUAACUUGGAUUUGUGAUGAUUGAUGAUAUCUCUUGCAUAAUCGAAAGAUUAUGUUUAUUAACACAGAAAUGUAUUUGAUCGGGGGUAUGUAUCAAA
rnacentral:rRNA from 1 species